UGGGAGACAAUUGGUAAACAAUAUAGUUGG
rnacentral:piRNA from 1 species